UGACAGAGGAUGUGGAAAAAGCUAACGGACUCAAUGCUUUUUUUUGACUCUGUCUUCAUGAACAAGGUCAGCUCCCAGAUUACUGCAUUCCGCAGCACAGUCUGGGGAGGAGGUGACCAGCCCUCUGGGGAGAAAGAGGUGGUUCGGGACUAUUUAGAAAAGCUGGACAAGCACAAGUCCAUGGGGCUGCAUCUGAGGGUGCUAAAGGAGUUGGCGGAUGUGAUUGCAGAGCCACUGGCCAUUAUCUUUGAAAACUCAUGGCAAUCGGGGGAGGUCCCGGAUGACUGGAAAAAGGCUAAUGUAGUGCCCAUCUUUAAAAAAGGGAAAAAGGAGGAUCUGGGGAACUACAGGCCAGUCAGCCUCACUUCAGUCCCUGGAAAAACCAUGGAACAGGUCCUCAAGGAAUCAAUUUUGAAGCACUUAGAGGAGAGGAAAGUGAUCAGGAACAGUCAGCAUGGAUUCACCAAGGGCAAGUCGUGCCUGACUAACCUAAUUGCCUUCUAUGACGAGAUAACUGGCUCUGUGGAUGAGGGGAAAGCAGUGGAUGUGUUUUUCCUUGACUUUAGCAAAGCUUUUGAUACGAUCUCCCACAGUAUUCUUGCCAGCAAGUUAAAGAACUACGGGCUCGAUGAAUGGACUAUAAGGUGGAUAGAAAGUUGGCUAGAUCGUCGGGCUCAACGGGUAGUGAUCAGUGGCUACAUUUCUAGUUGGCAGCCGGUAUCAAGCGGAGUGCCCCAAGGGUCGGUCCUGGGGCCGGUUUUGUUCAAUAUCUUCAUUAAUGAUGUGGAGGAUGGCGUGGAUUGCACCCUCAGCAAGUUUGCAGAUAACCCUAAACUGGGAGGCAUGGUAGAUACGCUGGAGGGUAGGGAUAGGAUACAGAGACAAAUUAGAGGAUUGGGCCAAAAUAAAUCUGAUGAGGUUCAACAAGGACAAGUGCAGAGUCCUGCCCUUAGGACGGAAGAAUCCUAUGCACUGCUACAGACUAGGGACCGAAUGGCUAGGCAGCAGUUCUGCAGAAAAGGACCUAGAGGUUACAGUGGCCGAGAAGCUGGAUAUGAGUCAACAGUGUGCCCUUGUUGCCAAGAAGCUAACGGCAUUUUGG
rnacentral:lncRNA from 1 species